rnacentral:rRNA from 1 species
GCAAGUCGAGCGGUAAGGUCUUUCGGGGUACACGAGCGGCGAACGGGUGAGUAACGCGUGGGUGAUCUGACCUGCACUCUGGGUAAGCUUGUGAAACUGGGACUAAUACCGGAUAUGACCGCAUGCCGCAUGGUGUGUGGUGGAAAGAUUUAUCGGUGCAGGAUGAGCCCGCGGCCUAUCAGCUUGUUGGUGGGGUAAUGGCCUACCAAGGCGACGACGGGUAGCCGACCUGAGAGGGUGACC